rnacentral:rRNA from 1 species
GAGUUUGAUCAUGGCUCAGAUUGAACGCUGGCGGCAUGCCUUACACAUGCAAGUCGAACGGUAACAGGUUAAGCUGACGAGUGGCGAACGGGUGAGUAAUAUAUCGGAACGUGCCCAGUCGUGGGGGAUAACUGCUCGAAAGAGCAGCUAAUACCGCAUACGACCUGAGGGUGAAAGCGGGGGAUCGCAAGACCUCGCGCGAUUGGAGCGGCCGAUAUCAGAUUAGGUAGUUGGUGGGGUAAAGGCCCACCAAGCCAACGAUCUGUAGCUGGUCUGAGAGGACGACCAGCCACACUGGGACUGAGACACGGCCCAGACUCCUACGGGAGGCAGCAGUGGGGAAUUUUGGACAAUGGGCGCAAGCCUGAUCCAGCCAUGCCGCGUGCGGGAAGAAGGCCUUCGGGUUGUAAACCGCUUUUGUCAGGGAAGAAAAGGUUCUGGUUAAUACCUGGGACUCAUGACGGUACCUGAAGAAUAAGCACCGGCUAACUACGUGCCAGCAGCCGCGGUAAUACGUAGGGUGCAAGCGUUAAUCGGAAUUACUGGGCGUAAAGCGUGCGCAGGCGGUUAUGCAAGACAGAGGUGAAAUCCCCGGGCUCAACCUGGGAACUGCCUUUGUGACUGCAUGGCUAGAGUACGGUAGAGGGGGAUGGAAUUCCGCGUGUAGCAGUGAAAUGCGUAGAUAUGCGGAGGAACACCGAUGGCGAAGGCAAUCCCCUGGACCUGUACUGACGCUCAUGCACGAAAGCGUGGGGAGCAAACAGGAUUAGAUACCCUGGUAGUCCACGCCCUAAACGAUGUCAACUGGUUGUUGGGAGGGUUUCUUCUCAGUAACGUAGCUAACGCGUGAAGUUGACCGCCUGGGGAGUACGGCCGCAAGGUUGAAACUCAAAGGAUUGACGGGGACCCGCACAAGCGGUGGAUGAUGUGGUUUAUUCGAUGCAACGCGAAAACCUUACUACCCUUGAMUUGCAGAUCCUGAARAUUGGGGAGUGYYYGAARAAGCCUGUMUCAGGGUGCUGCAUGCCGUSUCAGYYCUGUCCKRAWGUGGUAAGUCUGCACARGCSAACUUUGCUAGUGCUMGAGGCACUCAUGUACKCGGGUACACCCGAUGWAGWGUGGAGU